AUAUAAUAUUUAUUUGGCCCAAAUCAGUCUGAUAGUCAAGAGGCUAAUUUCUUGCCUCCACCAUAUGUCUUCCAAGGCCGAUGUAUCAUACACUUGUCGGCACCUCCUUUAUCUCUCUCAUCCUAAGAUCUAAUGGUGUGGUGUAUUCACUAAGAAACAUUAGGGAAAUAUGGCUCUUAUUACUAACUACAACGAUGACCACGAUUGGAGAUGGUUCGAAAGGUUCCUCGUGAUGUAGACUCGGUGCAUCGUUCGAUCAAAUAAACUGCCUUUUCCCAAGAAGUGGAACCCAAACCCAUAACCUGAUCUCAUCAAAGGCUCUAAAGAGGGUCCAGGCGGACAAGUCCAAGUUUAACGGGGUCGUCGAGGCCAACAGAGAGUUGAAGGCCGAGGUCGAAGGAUUGAAGUUCGAAGUUACAUGACGUAAAGCUGAAAAGGAAGCCUUGAUAUUGAGGAACAAGGGUGCUGAACAAAGCUCAAAACUAAAGCAAAAAGAGCUUCUAGGCUGGGAGUUAAUGUUUUCAUGCGACCUUAACAAAUCCAAAGAGAAAAUCCGAUCUCUUCAAGAUGAAAUGGCCGAUAAAGAAGAGAUUUAACUUCAAUUGACAAUAUAACAUUCCUGUAUUGAGGACAGAGAAAAGGAAUUAGAAGUCGCCCUUGCUUUUUUGGAUGAACUUACUCGACUAGUGGUGCUGAAAAAGCUGCCCUGAAAGAGGCUUAUGAUAAGUUAGCUCACUAACUCGGAGAGGUGGGGGGAAGAGUGAACUUGAUCGAAUUGGGUUGCUUUAGAGACUCGCUUAAACACUCUUCAUGAAGUCCAUGUUGGGAAGACAAACAUAGAGAAGUAGAUCAUGGACCUUGAAGUCGAGACGAAAGAAAUUGGGGCACUCCUAGGUUAUUCAUCCUCUGACGGAUGCGAGUAUAGUCUUGAUGUAGGUGAGGAUGAAUCAUAAUACUUAGACAAGAAUAAUGAAGAAAAGGAAAUUUUGACACCUUUGCCUCCCCCAACCACUUGACUCCCUGAUGUUUCUUCAUCCUCCGGAUCCUUUGAUCUUGAUUCUGACAAUAUUUCUUGAAUAUUGUACUUUAUAUAUCUUAAUUUUAGAAUUAUUAUAGUAAAAUUUCGACAAUAUUUUACUCAAAAGUUUUUGUG